rnacentral:tRNA from 1 species
UCCCGGGUGGCUCAGACGGUAAAGCGUCUGCCUGCAAGGCAGGAGACCCAGGUUCGAUUCCUGGGUCGGGAA